UUAUCCUGCACAGCUCAAUGCAUCAGCCUGGACCGAACCCUGACUCCCUGCGAGCUUCUGACAGAAGGAAACCCAUUCCCAGAGAAAAAGCAGACGCAGGAGCAGAAGGCCGACAACGACGGGAGCUUGGGAGUAUCGCUGUGACUGAAGAGGACGUCCAGGGAGCUGCAGUCAGAUGGGGAUCGCAGCAGCAAGGGCAGGUAUGACACCUCCGCCCAUAAAAACCAGGUUCUCAAAGUAGGGAAAAGAACGCAAGCCCAGGUGUCCCAGCAGGCGACAUUGACAAGAAAUAAUCAGAAACGUGCAAUCAAGGGAUCAAGAAAAGUGUGGAAAUGCCACACAGAGGCCAGCAAGGGGGAGCUGGGAUGGCCACAUAAGUGUCGGAGAGGCUGUGACCUGGACAAGCCUCAAAGAAGACAAGAAGCCCCGUAGAAAGGAG
rnacentral:lncRNA from 13 species